UACAGAGGGUGCAAGCGUUGUUCGGAAUUAUUGGGCGUAAAGCGCUUGUAGGCGGUCUGUUAAGUCGCGUGUGAAAUCCCCAGGCUUAACCUGGGAAGUGCGCGCGAAACUGGCGGACUUGAGUGCCGGAGAGGGUCGCGGAAUUCCCGGUGUAGGAGGUGAAAUUCGUAGAUAUCGGGAGGAACACCAGUGGCGAAGGCGGCGACCUGGACGGACACUGACG
rnacentral:rRNA from 1 species